rnacentral:rRNA from 1 species
UAGGGAAUCUUCCACAAUGGACGCAAGUCUGAUGGAGCAACGCCGCGUGAGUGAAGAAGGUUUUCGGACCGUAAAGCUCUGUUGUUGGUGAAGAAGGAUAGAGGUAGUAACUGGCCUUUAUUUGACGGUAAUCACCAGAAAGUCACGGCUAACUACGUGCCAGCAGCCGCGGUAAUACGUAGGUGGCAAGCGUUGUCCGGAUUUAUUGGGCGUAAAGCGAGCGCAGGCGGAAGAAUAAGUCUGAUGUGAAAGCCCUCGGCUUAACCGAGGAAUUGCAUCGGAAACUGUUUUCUUGAGUGCAGAAGAGGAGAGUAGAACUCCAUGUGUAGCGGUGGAAUGCGUAGAUAUAUGGAAGAAUACCAGUGGCGAAGGCGGCUCUCUGGUCUGCAACUGACGCUGAGGCUCGAAAGCAUGGGUAGCGAACAGGAUUAGAUACCCUUGGU